rnacentral:rRNA from 1 species
CCUACGGGAGGCAGCAGUGAGGAAUAUUGGUCAAUGGCCGGAAGGCUGAACCAGCCAUGCCGCGUGAAGGUCAGUGCCCUAUGGGCGUUAAACUUCUUUUGUGCGGGAGCAAUAAUGGUCACGUGUGGCCAGACGAGAGUACCGUACGAAUAAGCAUCGGCUAACUCCGUGCCAGCAGCCGCGGUAAUACGGGGGAUGCAAGCGUUAUCCGGAUUUAUUGGGGUUAAAGGGUGCGUAGGCUGUGAGGUAAGUCAGCGGUGAAAUGCCCCCGCUCAACGGGGUGAAGUGCCAUUGAUACUGCCUUGCUGGAAUGCGGAUGCCGUGGGAGGAAUGUGUGGUGUAGCGGUGAAAUGCAUAGAUAUCACACAGAACACCGAUUGCGAAGGCAUCUCACGAAUCCGCGAUUGACGCGGAUGCACGAAAGCGUGGGUAUCAAACAGGAUUAGAUACCCCUGUAGUC